rnacentral:lncRNA from 10 species
AUUUUAAUCUGGGUGCUUCGAUGGACCUAGCGGAGGAACCUCCCCAUUCCCAGCAGCAUUAUGAUGUGGUAUGUGUGAAGCCAAAGGCUGCAGGGGAUGCCUGGAGACACGUGUGUGUGUGUGUGUGUGAGUGUGUGUGUGAGAUUGUGUGUGUCUGUGGCUCUGCCCAGUGUAAUUAUUAGCUUGGAAAUUACUCUAAUCUGGUGAGUGCCAAUGCAGUCAUUCAAUAAUAAGUCAGAGAAUAUUUGGACAGGUUGAGGAGGAAGUUGACUCUGAUGUCAAAAAGAGUGUCAAGGAAUAGGAAGCCCACAGAGAAAGAUGAAUGUAGAGAAAAAUAUUUUUUCAAGCACAAAACAAUGAAUGAUGUAGGAAAUACAUAAGAUUUGUGCUGGGUUAAACGGGUGCAAGAAAUAAGAAAGCAUAUGUUCAGGACCAGACACAAAUUAUAGGCAACACUGCUUCCCUUCUAGCUUCUACUUUUAUAUUCCCAAUACGGCUUGAUAAAAAUGAGUUUCUCUUAACAAAGUUAAAGAAAAAUUGAAUUGUUGAUUCCCAUUGUGUUUUCCCCAUGG